rnacentral:rRNA from 1 species
AUUGAACGCUGGCGGCAGGCCUAACACAUGCAAGUCGAACGAGUGGCGGACGGGUGAGUAAUGUCUGGGCAACUGCCUGAUGGAGGGGGAUAACUACUGGAAACGGUAGCUACUACCGCAUACCAUCAGAUGUGCCCAGAUGGGUUUAGCUAGUUGGGGGGGUAACGGCUCACCAAGGCGACGAUCCCUACCUGGUCUGAGAGGAUGACCAGCCAAAAUGGAACUGAGAAACGGUCCAGACUCCUACGGGAGGCAGCAGUGGGGAAUAUUGCACAAUGGGCGAAAGCCUGAUGCAGCCAUGCCGCGUGUAUGAAGAAGGCCUUCGGGUUGUAAAGUACUUUCAGCGGGGAGGCGUUACCCGCAGAAGAAGCACCGGCUAACUCCGUGCCAGCCGCCGCGGUAAUUC